rnacentral:lncRNA from 1 species
UUCUUUUCUUUUACAAAUAGUCUGGCAUUUUAUAACAAGACACAUUAAAAUAUCUUUAUAGAUAGGCACAUGAUCUGAUAUCUGAGCUUUAGCAGUUGACUCUUUAAUAUUUAAUGUAUAUCAUUCAACACAUAUUAUUCACUUCCUACUUGGAAAUUAAACACUUUCCUGCUACAUUUUUCAUCCCAAUUAAUAAAUCUAAUUGUACAUGCUAAAGUUUAUUACUUGCAACACUCCUUUAACAAGUACAACUGACUCAGGAACAUAUGGUAAAAAUACUACUUAACUCUCUUAAUAACCAGCUUAUA